rnacentral:lncRNA from 1 species
AAACAGACAGAGACAACAAUCCACGUACAUUACAUUUACCUUCACUGAACAAACAUGGCCUGUCGUCUAACAGCUGUCGCCGUCGCCCUUUUCGCGAUGGGCGUGGGUGCUCAGAAUGGCCUUCCUGGGUACAGCUACGGCACCCCCAACGACCCCCUGGCGCCUGCUGGUCCUGGCGUGGAAGCGGAGACAGCUGACCCCAUAUCG